rnacentral:miRNA from 1 species
UUUUUCCAACUCCACCUAGACC